rnacentral:rRNA from 1 species
AGUGAACGCUGGCGGUAGGCCUAACACAUGCAAGUCGAACGGCCGCACAGUAAGCGCUUGCUCUUACGGGUGGCGAGUGGCGGACGGGUGAGGAAUACAUCAGAAUCUACUUUUUCGUGGGGGAUAACGUAGGGAAACUUACGCUAAUACCGCAUAUGACCUACGGGUUAAAGCAGGGGAUCUUCGCACCUUGCUCUAUUGAAUGAGCCGAUGUCGGAUUAGCUAGUUGGCGGGGUAAAGGCCCACCAAGGCGACGAUCCGUAGCUGGCCUGAGAGGAUGAUCGGCCACACUGGAACUGAGACACGGUCCAGACUCCUACGGGAGGCAGCAGUGGGGAAUAUUCGACAAUGGGCGAAAGCCUGAUCCAGCCAUGCCGCGUGAGUGAAGAAGGCCUUCGGGUUGUAAAGCCCUUUUGUUGGGAAAGAAAAGCAGCAUGAUAAUAUCCCGCUGUUCUGACGGUACCCAAAGAAUAAGCACCGGCUAACUUCGUG